rnacentral:rRNA from 1 species
UUGAAAGGGAAACGAUUGAAGUCAGUCGUACCUACGAGAAAUCAACCUUUUGAGCGUGAUCCCUUGGGCGUGUGGGAGCCUAACCAGCCUCUGCGUUUUUGGGUUUGCAUUCUUUGGGCGUAUUUUUUCGUGUGGUAGGUCAGCAUCAAUUUCGAACGCUAUAAAAUGACCGGAGGAAUGUAGCUUCGAUCUAUCGAAGUGUUAUAGCCUUUGGUAGAUGUAACGAUCGGGAUUGAGGAUUGCAACGAAUACCCUUCGGGGCUAUCCGUCUGGCCUCUGAUGGUGACCUUGGUGCCGAAAGCUUGCUUACGGUUAUUGAGGUUCGCUGUUAA